rnacentral:rRNA from 1 species
GACGAAGGAUGCAAGCGUUAUCCGGAUUCAUUGGGUUUAAAGGGUGCGUAGGCGGCCCGGUAAGUCAGUGGUGAAAUCUCCUUGCUUAACAAGGAAACUGCCAUUGAUACUGCUGGGCUUGAGUACAGAUGCUGUGGGCGGAAUAUGACAUGUAGUGGUGAAAUACAUAGAGAUGUCAUAGAACACCGAUUGCGAAGGCAGCUCACAAAAACUGUAACUGACGCUGAGGCACGAAAGUGCGGGGAUCAAACAGG